rnacentral:rRNA from 1 species
GAGUUUGAUCCUGGCUCAGAACGAACGCUGGCGGCAGGCUUAACACAUGCAAGUCGAGCGCCCCGCAAGGGGAGCGGCAGACGGGUGAGUAACGCGUGGGAAUCUACCCAUCCCUACGGAAUAACCCAGGGAAACUUGGACUAAUACCGUAUACGCCCUUCGGGGAAGAUUAUCGGGAGUGGAUGAGCCCGCGUUGGAUUAGCUAGCUGGUGGGGUAAGUGGCCUACCAAGGCGACGAUCCAUAGCUGGUCUGAGAGGAUGAUCAGCCACACUGGGACUGAGACACGGCCCAGACUCCUACGGGAGGCAGCAGUGGGGAAUAUUGGACAAUGGGCGAAAGCCUGAUCCAGCCAUGCCGCGUGAGUGAUGAAGGCCUUAGGGUUGUAAACUGCUUUUGUCAGGGAAGAAAUCCUCUAGGUUAAUACCCUUGGGGGAUGACGGUACCUGAAGAAUAAGCACCGGCUAACUACGUGCCAGCAGCCGCAGUAAU